rnacentral:rRNA from 1 species
UGGGGAAUAUUGGACAAUGGGCGCAAGCCUGAUCCAGCCAUGCCGCGUGGGUGAAGAAGGCCUUCGGGUUGUAAAGCCCUUUUGUUGGGGAAGAAAUCGUACGGGGUAAUAUCCCGUGCGGAUGACGGUACCCAAAGAAUAAGCACCGGCUAACUUCGUGCCAGCAGCCGCGGUAAUACGAAGGGUGCAAGCGUUACUCGGAAUUACUGGGCGUAAAGCGUGCGUAGGCGGUUCGUUAAGUCUGUCGUGAAAGCCCUGGGCUCAACCUGGGAAUUGCGAUGGAUACUGGCGAGCUAGAGUACGGUAGAGGAUGGUGGAAUUCCCGGUGUAGCGGUGAAAUGCGUAGAGAUCGGGAGGAACACCCGUGGCGAAGGCGGCCAUCUGGACCAGUACUGACGCUGAGGCACGAAAGCGUGGGGAGCAAACAG